rfam:Stegodyphus mimosarum contig110541, whole genome shotgun sequence.
GCCUUCGUGGUGUAGUGGUCAGUACUCUCAGCUCAUAGUCGAGAGGUCCAUGGUUCGAGUCCCGGUGAGGGCA